CUUCCCGAGUCUUUGACGUCCAAGUAGAUCCAGGAUGGUGAGGACAGCGAGAAGAAAAGAUCUUUGCUGGAGAUGGUGCACCCACACCCAUCGGGCUAUUCUUCCGGAGGGCGAAGCGGGGCAAGAAGAGGGGUCAAUGGAGCUUGGAGCUCUAUGGGAAGUCUGGUGGUUUUGCUUUAUAUUUUGAUUUUUACAUGUGAAUGGGACACUGUUCGCCUCAUUUUGCCGGGUGCUCAUGUUGUAUCCAACCGAUGUCUCUUUGAAAAGCAAUGUCAUGCUUCUCUAUGGUAGACGAGAGGUGCAUUUGGGAAGUCGCAAAAUCAUUGCUUUGUCAUGGCAUGGUCUGAGUUUCAAACAACGUGAUGUUUGGUUUUCGAAUGAGAAC